UAGGGAAUAUUAGUAAUGGGCGAAAGCCUGAACUAGCAACGCCGCGUGUGCGAAGAAGGCCUUCGGGUUGUAAAGCACUUUUUGAGAGGAUGAGGAAGGACGGUACUCUCAGAAUAAGUCUCGGCUAACUACGUGCCAGCAGCCGCGGUAACACGUAGGAGGCGAACGUUAUCCGGAUUUACUGGGCGUAAAGCGCGUGUAGGUGGUUUGGUAAGUAGGGCGUGAAAGCUCCUGGCUCAACUGGGAGAGGCCGUUCUAAACUGCCGAACUAGAGGAUGGUAGAGGGAGGUGGAAUUCCGGGUGUAGCGGUGGAAUGCGCAGAUAUCAGGAGGAACACCAGUGGCGAAAGCGGCGUCCUGGACCAUUCCUGACACUCAGACGCGAAAGCUAGGGUAG
rnacentral:rRNA from 1 species